rnacentral:rRNA from 1 species
CCUACGGGAGGCAGCAGUGAGGAAUAUUGGUCAAUGGACGAGAGUCUGAACCAGCCAAGUAGCGUGAAGGAUGACUGCCCUAUGGGUUGUAAACUUCUUUUAUAUGGGAAUAAAAUGUUCCACGUGUGGGCUUUUGUAUGUACCAUAUGAAUAAGGAUCGGCUAACUCCGUGCCAGCAGCCGCGGUAAUACGGAGGAUCCGAGCGUUAUCCGGAUUUAUUGGGUUUAAAGGGAGCGUAGGUGGAUUGUUAAGUCAGUUGUGAAAGUUUGCGGCUCAACCGUAAAAUUGCAGUUGAAACUGGCAGUCUUGAGUACAGUAGAGGUGGGCGGAAUUCGUGGUGUAGCGGUGAAAUGCUUAGAUAUCACGAAGAACUCCGAUUGCGAAGGCAGCUCACUGGACUGCAACUGACACUGAGGCUCGAAGGUGUGGGUAUCAAACAGGAUUAGAUACCCGUGUAGUC